rnacentral:lncRNA from 1 species
AUGUUCUCCUCCUUUCCCCUUGACCAUCCACUCCUGAGGGACUUGAAAGAGCUGGACCCUGCUGCUCGCCUCGACAUCCCUCCAGGGACAGUGGAAAGGCUAUGGGCCAUGCUCCCUCAGUUGAGCUUGAGUGAAGAUAGGCUGAGAGACGAACUCAUUGACUACCAGGUGACAGAUAGCAAGCACCUCCCCCAAGAAGACAACAUUGACAGAUUCUGGGGCCUGCUAGGGAAGGAUGUGAGGUUGUGUGAGCUGCCAAGAUUAAUGAAGGCUUUACUCUGCAUUCCCCACAGCAAUUCCAGUUCUGAAAGGGUGUUUGGUAUGGUGAGAAAGAUUGUUACAGAGAAUAGGAUGUCAUUAGAAAACAGCACCGUUUGUGCUUUACUGUCAUGUAAAAUCGACCACUCUGGCCUGGCCAGCAAAUACACUCCUUCCAAAAAAGUGUUAAAGAAUGCAAAAUCUGCAACAAAUUUGUGUAAUAAGUCAUUAGUGAAGGUCAGAGAGCCACGUGAGUGAACAUCAGUGGCGUCGGACUGGGGGGGGAAAGGGUACCGUUUACCCAGGGCCCACUGCAGGGAGGGGCCCUGAGACAGCUUUGAAUAAAAAUGUUUUAUUGUUGUUGUUUUUUCCCCCCAACUUACUUAAUGUCUUAAUAAACUUCCCUUUACCUGGAUAAAGAGGUUAAGAAACUGAAUUUCGCCUUAAAAAUAAUAACUGAAUAAUCUCUGAGGCAUCUAUCACCCCUUAAAAAUGUGCAAAGUGGUUUAGUCCACACAAGCGGCCAGGGGCUGCACGCCGCAUGUACAGCUAAUGAGACAUCGCAGAUGCCGACAGCCAGAGCUGGAAGCAGGAGAGUCAGUCAUGUCUUUUCCCAAGAACGGGAAAUCUGGCUUCCAGAAAAGAAAAGAAAAGAAGGAGAAGGAGAAAAAGUUAAUUGAACAGAAGCAAAUAUUGACUAGGUUUUUCAAGAAGGAAGGUGAGCAGCAGCCAGCAGCAGAACACAGUUUUAGCUGAUAUUAGCUAGCUCUCAGAAGCUGCAUUCAUGUUAGUUGUUCAGUGUUAAACGCCUUUAGUUUCACCAUCAAGAUCAAAUAUAAAUUAAUUAGUGUUAUCAUUGAAAACACUAAUUAAUGUAUAUAUUGUAGUGACCCCGAGCAUCUCAGCGGCAGUCCCCAACUCAACCAGCAGGAGGCAGUAGUGGUUCACACCAGACCUUUAUUGGGCUUCUUCUUCAACCCUUUGUAACACUACAGACACCGAACUUCUAUCACGCUCCUACCACACAGAGUCACGGUGUCAGUUAACCAUGCUAAUUCAACCCGCUCCACAGAACACACAUCACCUUCCCUGUGGCUUACAUUAACAUAACACUCAAAUCAACACAUAGAAACUAGCAGAGGGAUAGGAAACACAUAUAACACAAUACCCAGAAUGCACCUGGCUUACAACCCCAGCCAGGUCAUUACACUAUCAA